AGAACGAACGCUGGCGGCAGGCUUAACACAUGCAAGUCGAACGGUUGUAGCAAUACAGCAGUGGUAGACGGGUGAGUAACACGUGGGAACCUUCCUAGGGGUACGGAACAACUCAGGGAAACUUGAGCUAAUACCGUAUACGUCCGUGAGGAGAAAGAUUUAUCGCCCCUAGACGGGCCCGCGUAGGAUUAGGUAGUUGGUGAGGUAACGGCUCACCAAGCCUACGAUCCUUAGCUGAUCUGAGAGGAUGAUCAGCCACACUGGGACUGAGACACGGCCCAGACUCCUACGGGAGGCAGCAGUGGGGAAUCUUGGACAAUGGGCGCAAGCCUGAUCCAGCCAUGCCGCGUGAGUCGAAGAAGGCCUUGGGUUGUAAAGCUCGUUUUUACCAGGGUACGAUAAGUGACGGUACCUUGGAAGUAAUAAGCCCCCGGACAAACUUCGGUAGCCGAGCCGAAGCCCGU
rnacentral:rRNA from 1 species